rnacentral:rRNA from 1 species
AGUGAACGCUGGCGGUAGGCCUAGCACAUGCAAGUCGAACGGCAGCACAGUAAGAGCUUGCUCUUACGGGUGGCGAGUGGCGGACGGGUGAGGAAUACAUCGGAAUCUACUUUUUCGUGGGGGAUAACGUAGGGAAACUUACGCUAAUACCGCAUACGACCUACGGGUGGAAGCAGGGGAUCUUCGGACCUUGCGCGAUUGAAUGAGCCGAUGUCGGAUUAGCUAGUUGGCGGGGUAAAGGCCCACCAAGGCGACGAUCCGUAGCUGGUCUGAGAGGAUGAUCAGCCACACUGGAACUGAGACACGGUCCAGACUCCUACGGGAGGCAGCAGUGGGGAAUAUUGGACAAAGGGCGCAAGCCUGAUCCAGCCAUACCGCGUGGGUGAAGAAGGCCUUCGGGUUGUAAAGCCCUUUUGUUGGGAAAGAAAAGCAGCAGGUUAAUACCCCGCUGUUCUGACGGUACCCAAAGAAUAAGCACCGGCUAACUUCGUG